GGACGGGUGAGUAACGCGUGGGUAACCUACCCCAAAGUCUGGGAUAACAGCGGGAAACCGCUGCUAAUACCGGAUGUCUUUACCUUGGGGCAUCUUGAGGUAAAGAAAGGUAACGCUUUGGGAUGGGCCCGCGUCCCAUUAGCUAGUUGGUGAGGUAACGGCUCACCAAGGCGACGAUGGGUAGCCGGCCUGAGAGGGUGGACGGCCACACUGGGACUGAGACACGGCCCAGACUCCUACGGGAGGCAGCAGUAGGGAAUAUUGCGCAAUGGACGGAAGUCUGACGCAGCGACGCCGCGUGAGCGAUGAAGGUCUUCGGAUCGUAAAGCUCUGUCCUUGGGGAAGAAGGCGAAAGCUUGACGGUACCCAAGAAGAAAGCCCCGGCUAACUACGUGCCAGCAGCCGCGGUAAUACGUAGGGGGCGAGCGUUGUCCGGAAUUACUGGGCGUAAAG
rnacentral:rRNA from 1 species